UACGGAGGGUGCGAGCGUUGUCCGGAAUCAUUGGGCGUAAAGGGCGCGUAGGUGGCGGGACAAGCGUGCGGUGAAAGCGCGGGGCUCAACUCCGCGUCGGCCAUGAAUACUGCGGGGCUGGAGCACUGUAGAGGCAGGCGGAAUUCCGGGUGUAGCGGUGGAAUGCGUAGAGAUCCGGAAGAACACCGGUGGCGAAGGCGGCCUGCUGGGCAGUUGCUGACGCUGAGGUGCGAAAGCGUGGGGAGCAAACAGG
rnacentral:rRNA from 1 species